GGAAAUUGAAAGGUUCGAUUUCUUCUCCUUCUUCUUUCGAUCGUAGCUCUGGUGACAUACUAAAACUCUCUAACCUAAAUUGCGGACGUGCUUGCAUAAGAUACGAUUCUUCAUUGGUUCCGCUAAGGGUUAAAACCCCAAGGGAAGAAUGCGGAGAGAAUUGGAUAAGUCUUGGAUGUUUGAGAAUGAUAGGUUUGGUCAAGUAUACAGAGAUGGGGUAAAAAAUUUCAUUAAAUAUGCAUCUACAUAUGGUCCUUGGAAAACCCUUUGUCCUUGCCCAUGUUCUAGAUGUCUA